rnacentral:rRNA from 1 species
UACGGAGGGGGCGAGCGUUAUUCGGAAUUAUUGGGCGUAAAGGGCGCGUAGGCGGCCUUGUAAGUCAAAGGUGAAAUCCCUCGGCUCAACUGAGGAACUGCCUUUGAAACUGCCGGGCUUGAGUUCGGGAGAGGGUAGUGGAAUUCCCGGUGUAGUGGUGAAAUGCGUAGAUAUCGGGAGGAACACCAGUGGCGAAGGCGACUACCUGGCCUGUUCUUGACGCUGAGGCGUGAAAGCUAGGGGAGCAAACGGG